UACGAAGGGGGCGAGCGUUGUUCGGAUUUACUGGGCGUAAAGGGCGCGCAGGCGGCUCAUUUUGUCAGGCGUGAAAGCCCCGGGCUUAACCUGGGAACUGCGUUUGAUACGGAUGGGCUAGAGUUCGGGAGAGGAGAGUGGAAUUCCCAGUGUAGAGGUAAAAUUCGUAGAUAUUGGGAAGAACACCGGUGGCGAAGGCGGCUCUCUGGACCGAUACUGACGCUGAGGCGCGAAAGCGUGGGGAGCAAACAGG
rnacentral:rRNA from 1 species